rnacentral:rRNA from 1 species
CCUACGGGCGGCAGCAGUGGGGAAUAUUGGACAAUGGGGGCAACCCUGAUCCAGCCAUGCCGCGUGUGUGAAGAAGGCCCUCGGGUUGUAAAGCACUUUCAGUGAGGAAGAACGCCUGGUGGUUAAUACCCAUCAGGAAAGACAUCACUCACAGAAGAAGCACCGGCUAACUCCGUGCCAGCAGCCGCGGUAAUACGGAGGGUGCGAGCGUUAAUCGGAAUUACUGGGCGUAAAGCGCGCGUAGGUGGCUUGAUAAGCCGGUUGUGAAAGCCCCGGGCUCAACCUGGGAACGGCAUCCGGAACUGUCAAGCUAGAGUGCAGGAGAGGAAGGUAGAAUUCCCGGUGUAGCGGUGAAAUGCGUAGAGAUCGGGAGGAAUACCAGUGGCGAAGGCGGCCUUCUGGACUGACACUGACACUGAGGUGCGAAAGCGUGGGUAGCAAACGGGAUUAGAUACCCCUGUAGUC